rnacentral:tRNA from 1 species
GUGACUAUAGGACAAUUGGUAGUCCAGCGGUUUGUGGUACCGUUUGUUGCGAGUUCAAAUCUCGUUAGUCACC